UGCAAGUCGAGGGGUAGUAUAGCAAUAUAUGAGACCGGCGCACGGGUGCGUAACGCGUAUGCAACCUACCUUUUACAGGGGAAUAGCCCAGAGAAAUUUGGAUUAAUGCCCCAUGGUAUAAUUGAAUGGCAUCAUUUGAUUAUUAAAGUUCCAACGGUAAAAGAUGGGCAUGCGUCCUAUUAGCUGGAUGGUAAGGUAACGGCUUACCAUGGCUACGAUAGGUAGGGGUCCUGAGAGGGAGAUCCCCCACACUGGUACUGAGACACGGACCAGACUCCUACGGGAGGCAGCAGUGAGGAAUAUUGGACAAUGGGCGCAAGCCUGAUCCAGCCAUGCCGCGUGCAGGAAGACGCAUCUAUGGUGUGUAAACUGCUUUUGUACGGGAAGAAACACCCCCUCGUGAGGGGGCUUGACGGUACCGUAAGAAUAAGGAUCGGCUAACUCCGUGCCAGCAGCCGCGGUAAUACGGAGGAUCCAAGCGUUAUCCGGAAUCAUUGGGUUUAAAGGGUCCGUAGGCGGUUUGAUAAGUCAGUGGUGAAAGCCCAUCGCUCAACGAUGGAACGGCCAUUGAUACUGUCAGACUUGAAUUAUUGUGAAGUAACUAGAAUAUGUAGUGUAGCGGUGAAAUGCUUAGAUAUUACAUGGAAUACCAAUUGCGAAGGCAGGUUACUAACAAUAUAUUGACGCUGAUGGACGAAA
rnacentral:rRNA from 1 species